ACACACACACACACACACACACACACACACACACACACACACACACACACACACACACACAUGCACACAUGCACACAUGCACACACACAGACACACACACACACACACACACACACACGCGCGCAUUUACCUAGCUAUCCAAAUAGACGUAUUGUUUUUAAAGAAAUGGUUCACAAAAAAUGAAAUAUAUCGAAUAAAUAUAUUUGUUUAUUGAUUUAUUUUUUGUUAACCAUUCCUAUAGGUAUAAAUAAUGCACAUUAUAAUUGCUUCACACUAACCCAUACAUAUACUCAACCUCUAAACCGAAAAAAGUAUAUCUUUCACAUUUAUACUAUAAUUCUCCUUAAGUUGUUACAGAUUUAAUUAACGUACUGACACUUUUUUCUAGCCUUUCUGACCUUAAAGUAUUGCUAGUUUACAAGUAAACGCACUGUCUAAUAACUGGUUUGACACGUCGUCUCCCUGUCUCGUCUUGUGUUUCUCUAUUUUUCAAUUAUAUCCCAAUGCUACGCUUUUUAGCUUCUAGAUGUAAAGCCUGUACAUAUAGUAAUACCAGCGAAUAAAGCAGUGAUUGUUGUGUGGGAGAUGACAUUUUCCACUUUUAUUUGAAAUGCUUUCUUUUUGGGGGUUUUUUGCACAACUUUCACUUCCCUAAAGGUAUAGUUUUAAAUGUGUAGACAAUAUCGACCGUUAGUCGGGCAAUUAAUAGCCGUCCUGUCAUUAAAAUGCAUGCAUCACAGUUUUUGUAUUCAUGUUUCGGGCCGGUGAAGAAACACUCUGUUCAUAUAAAGUUAGAGGUUCACCGUAAGGCUAAGUGAUAUAGCUUAACCACAUGUAUCAUAUUGUUCAGCUUUUUGAUGAUAUUCAGUAUAUUCGAUACUAGAUUUAACAUUGCCAUAUUGUGUCCUCAAGCCAGACACUUGCUUGAGGGUCAGUAUUUAAUGUAGUCGGCGUAUUUACUUUUUAUAGAUGCUCGAGUAAAAAGCAUACUGUAAGUUCUGCAAUAUCAUCGGUAUCGGAGACUUUUUUUGUUUUGCAUUCACGCAAAUGUUAAUCAAAGAAAAUUCACUUUAGCUGUUACUGUUUUUUUUUGUUGCUGCAAGAAUCUGUACCGAGAAUGCUGCUUGUGUAAAUAUUAUUUCCAUCAGAGUUUUUACCUCUGUUUUGAAGGCUGUGUGUGGAUACUCACGAUGCCAAAGUGUGGGUGUGUUUUCACGCUAAUAAUGGCGGUGGAGAGACAUCUGGAGUCAUAUCAGCUGCACAUCAGUAAACCGUUCCCUCGAAAUGAUUGUCUGUAACAUCUCCUGUGAGCAAAACGAAUGCUUUCACUGGAUACUGUAGAUGCAGACUGCAUUCCCUUUUAUUCCCCGAAGUAAAGCAAUAGCGUUUCAGAAGCGCGGGUCUAUCCAAUAAUGAAGGUUUUGCAUGUUGAAGUCACCAUGGUGGUUAAUAAUUUCCAUUUUAAAACGUUAUAUGGCUAUGUGUGUUUAUAACAAAACAGAUGAGAUUUUUAAAUCACACCUACUUUAACAUGAUUACCGUAAAUCGAUUUAAUUGUUUUGCUUUUAUUAUGUACAUUUGUUUUGUGUAUGGCUUGCGAUCUUCACACGCAGUCGGCUUGAUUUUGAAAGACGAGUGAUUGUUUCACGUUUUAUUCAAUUGUUGACUUAUGCUUAAGUCCUAUUGCAUUGCUAUAAUAAUAUGUCGUUUUGAUGUUUCUCUAAAUUAACUUGAACUUUCACUAUAUCCUCUUAAGUCUGUGUGGUGUGACUUUGGGAUCUUUUAUGUGUAUUUUUUUUUAGUUUGAGUCAUGACAUAAGCAUAACCUUCAUUUGCACUUGUUCUUCGUGAAGCGUGAGGGAACAAAUGAGACUUUUCUGGAGAUUUUGUUCCUGCUAUUUCUUCUACAGUGAAAUAAAAGCUCUGCCGUAUGAAUAUGGAUGUAUGCCUUGAUUAAAUAUCUCACACCUUGCUUCUUUAAUUACCAAGAAAUAUAAUGCACAGUAUGUCAUAUGUGACCCCGGGCCACAAAACCAAUCAUAAGCGGCAGUUAUUUUUAAAUGGAGAUUUAUAGAUCAUAUUGAAGCUGCUUUACAUUGAAAAUCUGGAAUCUGAUGGUGCAAAAGAAUUGAGAAAACUACCUUUAAAGCGUCCAAAUGAAUUCUUGCAACGCAUAUUACUAAUCAAAAGAAGUAUUGAUGUAUUUACAGUCAUAUCUUCAUGAAACACAGUCUUUGCUUAAUAUCCCAAUCUAUAAUUUUGACCCAUGCAAUGUAUUGUUGGCUAUACCUACAUAAGAGUCACAUUUCAGCCUGACAUAAGAUACAGUUUGAUGAAAAAUGUGGGUUUUCUUGUGGAUGUAGUGUGACGGAAAAAAGCUUGAGUCGUAUUUGACCUUAAAUGCCCGAAUCAUUCUUGGGGCCAAAGAAUAAAUAUUUUUUGUGAGCUAAGAGUAAUGAUAUUAGAGCAAACAUCUUCAAGUGCAUCCACGGAUUUGUUGCUAAUAAUAUACUGAACUGCUGUUUCACUGGCGCCAGUAGAAUCGAAGCUUUACAAAGUUUCAGAUCAGUUGAACCAACUGCUUCUCAAAACAUCAGACGCUGCUGACACCUGCUGGUUCAAAACAGUGUAAAAGCACAAUAACUAGGCCCGAACAUAAUGAAAGACGCUAUUUGCAAUAAUAUCAGUAAAGCUUUAAAUAAAAUGUCCAGUGUGUAAAAAUGUGCUGAAGUAGAUGGCUGUAAUGAAUCAGGUGGUGUAAGCUCUCUUGACGUCUAAAGCAUUGAAGCACUGCAUUCAGCAGCACAGUCUGAAAUCUGGGAUCCAAAAUAAUCCAAAAAUAGGAUUCUACAGCUCCUAGGUGUUCAUUUUUAAUCAAGUUGUUUGCGAGGCCAACGGUCAGUUUCUGUGCCUUUUCACUGAUUUUAUGGAACUACAUUCUGACAAUAGGUAUGAUCUUUGAAGCUUUGACCAACCUCUCAGCGGAAAGUUCAACUGUUUUUUGCGCGAUUGAAGGAGGAAUGGGCUUGAAGUCACUGGCCAAGGCUCUAGUGUUGGUGUCCGAGGAUGUUCGAACAUCUCCUUAAACCCUUGGAAUCAAGACGAAUGCACACUUCCACCUCCCGAAUAAGCUCAUUUUGGGCUGGAUUGUGGAUGGUUUCUCAGCGGCAUCGGCGCUGGAUCUGAAGAAGAUACCACUUCUUGCACUGAUCUGCUGUCUGAGAGAGGCCUUUUUCACCACGAGAUUUAAGGUGUGAGCAAAGCAGAGACUGUGUCUGAUCUGAAGAGCCGUGUUUGAGGCAUGGUCAGUGACUCUCUCUUAUUCCCGACGCCUUCUUUAAUGCGCUAAGCUUCAGGGAAUUCAAAAAAGUUACAAGCAACUGUGUCCUUCACUGCAUGCCUUGUAUGAAGCACAUGCCGACUCAAGCUUCAUUACAAUUGCCACGAAGCCCUCGUUCUCCUCCACUAAAAAUGACUGCAAAUCCAUGAUUACCACGUCCACUAGAGCUUCAUCAGUGUCUUUUUGCUUUGCUAAAAAAAAUAAAAUAAAUAACAUAAACCGGUA